AUUUGAUUCAGUUUUCUGAUUGUCGUCUAAUCAGCUUGCAUCAGACAUUGCCUGUGAAGUACACGCAACAUGGGUGCUUGAGGUGCAAGAGAUGGAGAAAGCAAGGCCUCAGAUCAUUCUACAAUGAAUGACAUCAGCUAUUUCCUGAUGUAUAUUUUUCUUCCUUUCCUGAUAAACUGUCCUUUUGGAGGGCAGAAAAAAAAUGGGUGAUGAUUACCCUGCUGUCUUAGAAUGAUCCUGGAGAGCUUCAAGCUUUGGGGACACACACCACUGGGACCUGCCUACUGAAUCACACAUGCCUUCCAUGGCAACCCACUCCAGUAUUCUUGCCUGAAGAAUCCCAUGGACAG
rnacentral:lncRNA from 1 species